AUAUCAAUAAGCGGAGGAAAAGAAACCAACAGGGAUUGCCCUAGUAACGGCGAGUGAAGCGGCAACAGCUCAAAUUUGAAAUCUGGCUCUCUUAGAGUCCGAAUUGUAAUUUGUAGAGGGUGUUUCGGUGUAGGCCAUGGUCUAAGUGCCUGGAAUGGCAUGUCAGAGAGGGUGAGAACCCGUCCUUUGGCCAGUUGGGUUUCGCGCCAUG
rnacentral:rRNA from 1 species